rnacentral:rRNA from 1 species
GACGAACGCUGGCGGCGUGCUUAACACAUGCAAGUCGAACGGAAAGGCCCUGCUUUUGUGGGGUGCUCGGGUGGCGAACGGGUGAGUAACACGUGAGUAACCUGCCCUUGACUUUGGGAUAACUUCAGGAAACUGGGGCUAAUACCGGAUAGGAGCUCCUGCUGCAUGGUGGGGGUUGGAAAGUUUCGGCGGUUGGGGAUGGACUCGCGGCUUAUCAGCUUGUUGGUGGGGUAGUGGCUUACCAAGGCUUUGACGGGUAGCCGGCCUGAGAGGGUGACCGGCCACAUGGGGACUGAGAUACGGCCCAGACUCCUACGGGAGGCAGAAGUGGGGAAUAUUGCACAAUGGGCGGAAGCCUGAUGCAGCAACGCCGCGUGCGGGAUGACGGCCUUCGGGUUGUAAACCGCUGUCGCCUGUGACGAAGCGUGAGUGACGGUAAUGGGUAAGGAAGCACCGGCUAACUACGUG